rnacentral:rRNA from 1 species
GUAGGUGGCAAGCGUUGUCCGGAAUUAUUGGGCGUAAAGCGCGCGCAGGCGGUUCUUUAAGUCUGAUGUGAAAGCCCACGGCUCAACCGUGGAGGGUCAUUGGAAACUGGAGAACUUGAGUACAGAAGAGGAAAGCGGAAUUCCACGUGUAGCGGUGAAAUGCGCAGAGAUGUGGAGGAACACCAGUGGCGAAGGCGGCUUUCUGGUCUGUAACUGACGCUGAGGCGCGAAAGCGUGGGGAGCAAACAGGGAUUAGAUACCCUGGUAGUCCACGCCGUAAACGAUGAGUGCUAAGUGUUAGGGGGGUUUCCGCCCCCUUAGUGCUGCAGCUAACGCAUUAAGCACUCCGCCUGGGGAGUACGGCCGCAAGGCUG